AUUGAACGCUGGCGGCAGGCUUAACACAUGCAAGUCGAGCGGGGUGAUGGUGCUUGCACUAUCGCUUAGCGGCGGACGGGUGAGUAAUGCUUAGGAAUCUGCCUAUUAGUGGGGGACAACAUCUCGAAAGGGAUGCUAAUACCGCAUACGUCCUACGGGGGAAAGCAGGGGAUCACUUGUGACCUUGCGCUAAUAGAUGAGCCUAAGUCGGAUUAGCUAGUUGGUGGGGUAAAGGCCUACCAAGGCGACGAUCUGUAGCGGGUCUGAGAGGAUGAUCCGCCACACUGGGACUGAGACACGGCCCAGACUCCUACGGGAGGCAGCCGUGGGGAAUAUUGGACAAUGGGGGGAACCCUGAUCCAGCCAUGCCGCGUGUGUGAAGAAGGCCUUAUGGUUGUAAAGCACUUUAAGCGAGGAGGAGGCUCUUUUGGUUAAUACCCAGAAUGAGUGGACGUUACUCGCAGAAUAAGCACCGGCUAACUCUGUGCCACCAGCCGCAGUAA
rnacentral:rRNA from 1 species